GGUCAUGAGUGCCAGUGACAAGCCCCGGCUCGCUGGCCAGCAACCCUCCUCCGCGGUGGGGUGCUCCGGGUGACGACCAGGUCGACCCCGAUCAGCUCGAGAGAUCCAGCUCGUGCGAUCGCGGCCGGCAAGCGCGGACC
rnacentral:ncRNA from 2 species